GCAUGGCUGAAUAUUGUGUUGUUUAGUCAGUGCUUGACACAAUCACACACCAAGCAAAGUCAGCUGUUUAAUUUUAUUUAU